GAUGAACGCUAGCUACAGGCUUAACACAUGCAAGUCGAGGGGUAACGAGAGGAAAGCUUGCUUUCCUUGUCGACGACCGGCGCACGGGUGAGUAACGCGUAUCCAACCUGCCCCCAACUAGGGAAUAACCUUGCGAAAGUAAGACUAAUACCCUAUAAUUUCCUCAGAUGUCAUCUGACGAGGAAUAAAGAUUUAUCGGUUGGGGAUGGGGAUGCGUCUGAUUAGCUUGUUGGCGGGGUAACGGCCCACCAAGGCAACGAUCAGUAGGGGUUCUGAGAGGAAGGUCCCCCACAUUGGAACUGAGACACGGUCCAAACUCCUACGGGAGGCAGCAGUGAGGAAUAUUGGUCAAUGGGCGGAAGCCUGAACCAGCCAAGUAGCGUGCAGGAUGACGGCCCUAUGGGUUGUAAACUGCUUUUAUACGGGAAUAAAGUUAGCCACGUGUGGUUAUUUGUAGGUACUGUAUGAAUAAGGACCGGCUAAUUCCGUGCCAGCAGCCGCCGUAA
rnacentral:rRNA from 1 species